CACGACUGGACCUAAUGGUCAGGGGUCCCUUUACCCUCUACUGGGGACCUCAACACGCAAAGAAACGUUUCACAAGUCAGUCAGGCAAGCAAGAACAAAUUUAGGUCUGGCCAAGAGAGGAAGCUUGGGAUGCGUGCAAUUCCAGAGGCCAAACACAGCUGUCCAUGCCUAAGAUUUUGCUCCUCUGUUACUGACAGAUACUUCACUAAGUAGUUUUGGUUGCAUACAGGGUAUGGUAUUUCUGAUCUCUUUUCUUUCUGUGAUCUUUGGAUGAAGAGCGUCACACGAAUGCAGUUAAACAAACAGAAUUCUGAACUGCACGCUGUAGGUCACUGGCCAUACAGCUUGUCUACGUAGGGCUCAGGCUGGAGCUAUAUCAUAAAUAUCUGUGUAGCUCUGGGGAGGAAAGCAUCUUGGGAAGGGCUGAAUUAGAGCAGCCAACUUAUUGGGCUGAAAAGUGUUACACAAGAGUGAGGGGUUCACUCUUCUGCAUGUUAAAUAAGGGUAAAGAUACAAUUAUAGGGUUGCUAUACGCCCGGAAUGCCAUAUCCACAUUCAUCAGCAUCGUCCAAAUGUCUGGGGAAAUCUGGAUGUAUGGCAGGCAAUUUUGCUGAUGUUAAAAUAGCUCGAAAAUGGCAUUUUUUGAACUUUGGGCAAAACAAAAGAAAGCUCAACAACUUUUCUGUCUUGAUUUUCACUGUUUGAAAUAUUGUAUUUACUUUCUCUGUCCCCUCUUCUUCUUAAUUUUCUUCCUUUACUUAUUCUUGCUUUUUCCUUUCUAGAUUAUUUUGGCUUUUAUUGUAUGUUGAAAACGUUUAAUAAAGAUUGAUUAUUUAAAAAAAACCCCUCAGUUCUCUGCUCAUCCCCAACUAAUUUUCAACAUGAGAAAAUGAGGUGAAGAUCAGGAAUUGCAGAAUUAGAAAAAUAGAAAAAAUAUGGCUGAUUUAUAACUGUGUGAGUGUGAUACAGCACAUUGCCUCAAAAACUGCAUCUGAAGGCCCAACAAAAGGAACUGGUGCUAUAUUGAGCUUUCCAUAUUCCCAGUCCCUGUCGGAGGCUUUGAUUCCCUGUUUAUCUAUCUUAGAUGUAGUCUGCUGGGUACUUGCUGUUGCAUGAGCUUUACCUUCAGGUCUUUGGUAGAUGAUUUAAGAUUUCUGUUAACUUUGUUCCAUACUUUAUCAAUCACAAGGCUCAGGGCUUUUGCUCCGUGCAUUUUUCUCCCAAAGAAUAUGAACCGGUAGUAGGCUAUAAAUAAUGCAUUGUGAAGGCCUUGCAUUCUGUCUCCGCUAAGUCUGUGUGUAAUAUAACCUCAUCUUUUUCAUGUAGGGAGCUUGGUGAAGUAUAUAGAUGGCUAGGUUGCAGCAGGCAGUAUUAAAAUGGGCUGCGUUUAUUUUAAGAGAGAAAUUAUUUAUUUAGGGAGAUAGAAAUGUAUUUUUCGACUCGUUUUUAAGUACCAGGUAAUCUCUAAUUAUGACUGCUGUAUUCUUAAUCACCAGAAGUCUGGUUUUUUCAGAAUUGAUAACCACUUCUUUUCCUGGGCACUCCCUACUUAGACAAUAAAGACAAUUAAUGCUGUUGGAUUGGCAAUUCAUCAUAGUUAAACACCUUGUGGGAGGCACAUUCUUCUUCCAAAUUAAUGCACUCCCCCCCAUUACUUUAUAAUUGGAACACUUUCCAAUUUUACUGGGGAUGAAAGGGAAAUUUUUUUUUUAAAAUGUGAGGAGUAAAUCAUUGGUUAAAGGUAAAAAGACCAGAAAAUUUGACACCAACCGAUAGAAAUAAGCUAUCAAAUGAUUAUGGGAUAUUAUUUAAUACUCAGGUAGAAGAAUAUAAAACCUUUAUCAAAAAAUGGUAGAGACACGAUAAAGAAAAGUGCUUUUAGAUGGAUGCACAGUGGUGCUUGUGGGCCUGCAAAAUGAAUAAAAUUGGUGAAAAGGAGAUUGAAUGUACUAAAUUUGUACAAAACCAAAAAGAGUCCCCGUGACAAGAACGUGUCUUCCAAGGAGAUGGAAUAUUUGUAAAUAUUUGUAAUUUUGUAAUAUUUGUAAAUAUUUGUAAUAUUUGUAAAACGAAGAGAUUUUGCAGCAUGCACACAUGUUGGAAGCAUGGGAAGGCAAUUAAAUAUUUGCGGAUGGUAGUGAAUAUAAUUUUUUUCAGUUUCAUAUUAUAUUAGACUUUGAAAUGUUUAUUAUAUUUUGUCAAAUAUUGUGUUUCUUAUUUUUAUAUCUUGCAGUGGUUAAAAGGGUGUUUUUUAAAAUGGAAGAAAAGCAGUUGAAGACCGAUAAAGCUAAUAAGAAACAUUUGGGAAUUUGAUGGCAUUUCUGAGGAACCCACAAUAAAGUGGCCCUGAGGAGAAGGAAUCUAGGGAUUCGAUAUGGAAAACAAUGUAAGAAAGGGGCAGAGGGCAAACUUGACAUUGUGAAUCAUGUAAAGGUUGAGAUGGAAUAAUGGCUUUUUGUUUUUUUUGUUUUUUAAAUCAAUUUUAUUUGAUUUUACAGAUAGAAAUUUAUAACAAUACCAAAUACAUAUCCAUGUAUAGAGAAUUCUCUGAAUCUCAAGACUUCCCCCCAUCCCCUCCAUGGAUCCUAUUGUCAACAUUUUCAACUGCAUAUUAUUCCAUACUCUAUAUUUUAUAUCCAUCCAUGUUAUCCAUAAUCUAACUAAGAUUAUGAUGGCAAAGAACAUUACAAGUGACAUUGAAAUCCUGCUAAUGUUUUCAUCUGCUUACAGUGGUCAAAAUAAUGGCAUUUUGUAUCCAACAGUCGGAAAGUUAUAUGGAAGAAAUAUAAUUCCAUGUGUUUAAGUAUUAUUCUGAGUAGACCCACUGAAAUCAAUGGAGUUGUCAAUGCAAACUUCCAACUCCCAUUCAUUUCAGUGGGUCUGCUCUGAGCAUGAUUUAGUCAGGUAGAAUCUUAUAUAUACUAUACAGCAGAUGUAUGUUGCGUAGCUUUUCAUAAUAUAGAUCUCAGCUUGUAAGCAGGUUGAUCUCAGAUGGCCCUUCCAGGGGUUCCCCCCCACCCCCCCUUUUUUGUUAUUUUUUUUUUUUAAAUCAUCGAUCCACAUAAAUCUGUAACUGUAAGUGAAAUUAGCAUGAGAUGCGAUCUACUUGUAUAAUAUUUUAAAAACGAGACGGAGUUGGAAUCCUUUCAACAUGAAGUGAAACUGAUAACAUAACACUUAGAGAUAAGUUUAUAGUCUGCAAAAAAAGAGAGAAAGAAAUAUAUAACUAACAUUUGGGUAUUCUGACAAUAUCAAUCAUGAGAAGAAGAAAAACACUUUCCCCAGUAUUUUUGGUGGCAGUGCAUGCAGUCAUGACCACAGAGGCACAGGCAUGCUGAGUCACACUGAAAUCAAUGCGUUCAAUGUGCUUAUAGCUGGGCUUCAGAUUACAUUCUGUUUUUAACACAGAAAGGAACUCAGGAACCAGAGUUCCUGAGUUAAACAACACAAUGUAGAUUUUCAGGUGUUUUUUGUUUUUUGUUUACAUCAAAUUUGGUUGUGAUUUCUGUAUUUAGUAAUGCAAGUGUGUUCUUUGUGGCCUUCCUUAAACAAUGCUUUUUAUAUAAAAGCCACUAAAAUCUUUAUUGUGGUUGCUAGCAACAUGGUCCUAUGCAUGUUUAUUCAGAACUGAAUCUAAUUGUAUUUGUUCGGUCUUGCAAUACAGUGGUACCUCAGGUUAAGUACUUAAUUCGUUCCAGAGGUCCGUACUUAACCUGAAACUGUUCUUAACCUGAAGCGCCACGUUAGCUAAUGGGGCCUCCUCCUGCUGUCGCGCCGCCAGAACACGAUUUCUGUUCUCAUCCUGAAGCAAAGUUCUUAACCUGAAGCACUAUUUCUGGGUUAGCGGAGUCUGUAACCUGAAGUGUAUGUAACCUGAAGCAUAUGUAACCUGAGGUACCACUGUACUACAAAUAAUCAGAAUCCUACCAUUUAUCAAUUUCUGCGGUUUGGGGGGGGACCCCCUCAAAUCUAUAACCAGUGCUUUUUCUGGGAGUACUCAAGAGUACCGGCACCUUUUUUUUUUUCUAGAAGAAAAGCACUGUCUAUAACAAUAUAUUUUUUCUGGCUUGCGGCAAAACUAGGGCUAAUCUAAAAGUGGAUUAGUGCUUUAGUCUGCACUCCAAUCUCCAAUUCCCUAUGGUAAGGGGAACUUCCUUUUGAGUAGACAUGUAUAAGAAUGUGGCACUGCCGGUAUUGUUUUUGGCUGAACGUAACAGGAUUUUAUGUUUCUGCGGUUAUGUACUGUAAACCUGGAGAAGGGGGUGGCCCAUACACUUUCAAAUAGCCGACUACUUUUCAAGUCAAUCAUCUCCUCCAUGUUCCACUUCUCCCAGCGGAGGCUGUUAGGAUUCCUUAUGUGGGUGGCUAAGGUGUAAGGAAAGUUGUUUUUCUUGGACAUAUUGCAGCUUCCUGUAGCGAGACAUGAAAUAUUCUGACAGCACUGGGCUGGGCCAAGAGUCUAAAAUGGGAUAACAUAUGCUAGCUGACUAUAAAAAAAUAAUAAAAGCUUUUGUUUUGUUGCUGGUUUCGACAAGGAAAGCUGCCAAGCGUAGCAUGUUGUAGAACCCCUGGGGUGCUUUCCCAUGUUAGCAGCUUCUAUCGUAUGCAUAUGGUGAUAAGCACCAGCCUGCCCUUUUCAAGGUUUUUUCUCCUACGUACUGAGGCCAUCUGAGAUUAAUACUGCUAGAUACAUUCAAUAUUGGUUUACUGGAAUCCAUGAGGAUUUCGUCUGCUUUCCUACACGUGUAGGGUUUACAUGGCACAAAGAUUAAAGCGAUCUCCUGCUGCAAAGAUUCCCAUCCCCUCAAUAAUAAUAAAAAAGGAAAAGCUGCUGGCAAUCUUAUUAUACCUGUUGUUGAUAAUGCAUAUACAGUGGUACCUCGGGUUACAUACGCUUGAGGUUACAUACGCUUCAGGUUACAGACUCCGCUAACCCAGAAAUAUUACCUCGGGUUAAGAACUUUGCUUCAGGAUGAGAACAGAAAUUGUGCUCCAGCGGCAGUGGGAGGCCCUGUUAGCUAAAGUGGUGCUUCAGGUUAAGAACAGUUUCAUGUUAAGAACAGACCUCCAGUUCUUAACCCGAGGUACCACUGUAUGCAGACAGAUAAGAUAUAUCAUGAGAUAUAUCAUAAGAUCUUUGUUUGGGCAAGCAUACAUGUAUUACUAGGGAGCAAGUGGCGCUGUGGUCUAAACCACUGAGCCUCUUGGGCUUGCCAAUCGGAAGGUUGGUGGUUGGAAUCCCUGCGACAGGGUGAGCUCCUGUUGCUCUGUCCCAGCUUCUGUCAACCUAGCAGUUCAAAAGCACACCAAUGCAAGUAGAUAAAUAGCUACCGCUGCGGCGGGAAGGUAAAUGGCGUUUCCGUGUGCUCUGGUUUCCUUCACAGUGUCCCGUUGCACCAGAAGCGGUUUAGUCAUGCUGGCCACAUGACCCGGAAAGCUGUGUGUGGACAAACGCCGGCUCCCUCGACCUGAAAAGCGUGAUGAGCGCCGCAACCCCAUAGUUGCCUUUGACUGGACUUAACUGUCCAGGGGCCAUUUACCUUUUACAUGUAUUGCUACUUAUUUUAUAUUGCUGGAGCAUAAUUAUUGCCUCCUCCUUUUAAAUAUAUUACCUACACUUGAUCCCCAAGAUAAAGUAUAUCAUGGGUAGCUGAAUAUAGUUUUAUAUACGGUAACUCUCAAUUCGCCAUGAAAUGUUAAGAUUUGUAUUAUAUGCCCUGGGGUCUCCAAUCCAGUUCAGCCAAUGGCAGAUCCACACCUUAUCAUUUCUGUAUGCUAUUCUACUUACUGUAUAUGUGUGACUGGUAACUGGAUUUAUAAACUGACUCCAUUUUGUUUCAGGUGUUGGGAAAUCAAAGAAUUGUAGAGUUGGAAGGGAUCCUGAGGGUCAUCUAGUCCAACCCCCCUGCAAUGUAGGAAGCCUGCCCACAGCCAUCCCUGGGUGGGCUCGAACCCCCAACCUUCUUGUGAACAGCCAGACACACUGACCCAUUCUGCCACAGAAGGGCAAGGUCUCUGUGUGGUUUUAUAUUUGUGAUAACAUUCAGGUUAUCUUUCCAAAUCGCAGUCAUGAACAUGCAUGCGUCCAAUGAAUCUAAAGUUGCUCUGAUAAGCAAAAUUUCUUAGAAUAAAACCCUAUAAAAAUCUGCAUUAUUUACUUUUGAAACGGGCUGAAGUGCAGGAACUCCUCUUGACCUGUGAAUCAGGCUGAGUGUUGAAAAGCAUAAUAUUCUGGAAAAAAAUGAUGGGAGAAUCCAUGGAUACAGAACACCUUAGUGGUACUUGUAGGAGAUCAUUAUGUGGCUGACUGCAAGCUAAUUGCAUUUGUUCAGUGACUGAGAAAAUGGGAUACAGAUGGGAAGUGAGCGGUAGGAAACACCCUACUGUUGGAGAGCAAAAUAAAGCAACUGCUACAGGGUAUAGCACGUUGUUGUCAAGGAAAAAAAGGUUGAAAUUGCCUACCCCACACAUGCGCUUUUUUCUGCUUAAAUAGCUCUUUUAAUUAAUUUUUUAGCAAUGUGUGGUUGUCACAAAACAAGCGUAGUAAUGGCUGAGGG